rnacentral:rRNA from 1 species
UACGUAGGGUGCGAGCGUUGUCCGGAAUUAUUGGGCGUAAAGAGCUCGUAGGCGGUGUGUCACGUCGGCCGUGAAAACCUGCAGCUUAACUGUGGGCGUGCGGUCGAUACGGGCAUCACUGGAGUUCGGCAGGGGAGACUGGAAUUCCUGGUGUAGCGGUGAAAUGCGCAGAUAUCAGGAGGAACACCGGUGGCGAAGGCGGGUCUCUUGGCCGAUACUGACGCUGAGGAGCGAAAGCGUGGGGAGCAAACAGG